UUUGAAAAAGGCUGUGUUUUAUUGAAAUACAGCAGACAUCAACAGGUUGUUUUGCUGACCUGGGCGACAGAAACAGAGCUCCAACACUUUUCAAACAGUGUUAAAACAAAGAUCGAUGGCUGUUCUUUUGUUAUUUAACUCCAAAGACGCCUUUUUUUGAACCCGUAGCCCAAAGCGCAGCCCGACUUUGGGCCGCAAGCUGAUCGAUGGUAGCGUCUCCGUUGUGUUGGGAACAAAAGCAAGCUGGUGCUCCAAAUCAAUUUUGGGUUCUGACUUCAGAAAAUGCUGGUAUGCAAAGUUAAAAAUUGAACACAGCUCGUCGAGUGCUGGAGGAUUUGACAGAGUGUCGGGGCCUGUUUCUGUGUCCAGGGCUGGUUGUUUGAUAGUAGCAGUAGUAGAAGAAGCAGAUCCUCCGUUAUGAAGCAGGGCUGGCCUCAACUCCCCGGAAAAAGACACUUAAAGCCCCUGGUUUCCCCAAAAAGUCAUUAGAAACCAUCAUCCUGCGUGAAGUUUGUUGGGACACUGAGACUUUUUAAAAAAAAAUACACAGAUAUGACAAGUAAAACCAAAAGAACUUGGACGCUAAAUAUUAGAAAUCUGUCUAAAACGUUUCGGUGUCGACGGCAGUUAUCCUGUUUUAUUUUACUUCUUUCCACAAAUGAGUUGAGUCAGUUUGAUUAGAAAAUGCAACAUGUUGCAGAAAGUUUCCAUUAAUUUCUGAGCCAUUUAAGAGAGAUUCAAUCUGGCAUGAAUGACCGAAGAGUCAGAACGAUUUAAAUUUCUGCAACACUUUCCCAAUAAUAAAAUAUUUCGGUGAGAGUCACGUCUUGAUUGUCUUUGAAAGAUCCUUCCUCAAGCUUCUUUAGUGACAUAGAAAGAAGUAAAAUGAACAAGAUAAGAGCUUUUACUAUUUUUCUUCUUGGUUCAAAUAUCUGACAAAAUUUUGAUUUUAAAACUGAACACAGCUGAAGGCUGAGGACGGAUAAAGACCCUUGAAGUUUACUUGACCACUAAGGAUGGAUCAGACAAGAAAUGCACUUUGAAGCAAAGGAUUUUGCAGCACAAAUGACCCUCUGUAGUUGCAGCUUUGGGGUCUAGAUAGAAAAGCAAGCAUUAGGGUUGUAAACAAAGGAUAAUUUCAGGCUAUGUCGCUAUUUCACAGAUAAUUUCUGAAGCUUUGACUGUAAAGAUUCUUUAAUUCUUGAUGCUGGAACUGACCAUGUCCAUAAUCAGAGCAAACUUCAGGGUACGCAGUGUUUCAGCCUCGUCUGUAGAAAAUCGUUACCUCGCUGGGUUUUAAAUCUAACCGCACAAAAGCUUGUUUUUUUGAGGAAUCCAGGUGCACACAAAGAUAAAUUUCAGCAUGAGCAAACAGAGGAAGUUUAAAAGAAACCAAAGGAAGGACUCAAGCACACCAGUCGUACUGUGCGUUUUAAUUUGUGUUGCUGUAGUGUGGAUAAAUCUUGAGGCUUUAAUUCCUCCCCCCCAAAAAUUGACUGAAAGGUCCUAAAGACUUGUUCUCCUUUUUUCCAUAGACAAACAAAAUUUUUUUUCUUACUUUUCCUUUAAUAGUUGUCAAGAAUGGUUUAUUUGCGGUUUCUUCUACUGUCUUUAAUGCAGCCAUGAGUAACGGAGCCUAAAGCACCACCUCCUGACGACAUUACGCAGCCUGGAAUUUUUGCUACGAAUAAGCCAAAGUCGCUAACAGGAACUAAUUUUUAAGGGUUUUUUUUUUUGCUGUUUUUCGUAACAUUUCAAAAGCUAACACUGAAACACGGCACUUACUUAUUGAGUCACUCAAUGUUUUUGCGAUCCAACAAACAGAAUUCUUCAGGUGAAUGCAAAGAGCUUUAACAGCUACUACUGAUCUUCCAGAGAAUUAAUUAUAGCACCAUUUUUUUUGUGUUUGUUUUUCUGUCCUUGGUUUACCAGCCUGCCACUAGUGUGCUCGAUUCUUUCCUCUUUCAACAUUCAGACAGUAAAAUCCACAGCACGGACUCCUCCCCCCUCUCCUCCCCUCAAAGCAAAUACAUUCAAUCAUUCAUCAGAAAAAUAUUCAAUUAAAACUAUACACUUGCAAAAAUAAAACUCUCUAGGAAGCUUUCUAAGGCUGUGCGUCCACCUGGAGGCGCUCUCUGCGGGGCCGGAGAGCUUUAACGAUGCUGAACGCUACAUGUUUAAAGACUUCAAGCAAAGAAAAAAAAAGCAUUUGUUUUUUUUUUUUUUUGUCUUUUUUAAAUCGACUCGCACCAGCAGCCGGAGCUUUGCAGGAAAACGUCUGACUGAAGUGGACGGAGUUGAGAAUCCCUCCCUCCCCUGCUGUUUGCUUGUUGAGGCCAGCCCUGGGAUGCAUUCGUAAAUACAGUAUUUCAGAUAUAUGUAGUCUUAUCAUCUUUAAAUCUGACCAGGACACUACAGCGGCAGAAGCAAUACAUAAAGAAGCUCAUAUUUUGUUUUUACUAUUAUUAUUUUUUGUCGGAAUGGAACUAGUUUCAACUAAGCCUACCAAGCCAACAUGUAGUUAUGUAUCGAAUAAAAGGCUAUUUCUCUUUUUUUGUUUGUUUUUGUUUAUUACAGGUGUGUAUGAUGGUGUGCAGGACGACAAAGAUAGAUAGAAAGAUAGAUAGAAAGAUAGAUAGAUAGAUAGAUAGAUAGAUAGAUAGAUAGAUAGAUAGAUAGAUAGAUAGAUAAAAACAAUCAAUGAAGAGAGAAGAAGUGGGGAAAAAGACAGAGGUGAAGAAAGGGUGGAAAGUAAGAGAGACGAAUAGAAGAAGCGUAAGAGAAACAGAGAGAAAGAGAUAAAAGUAUGAUUCAGGCAGCAUGAUUCUAGAUUUUUUACUGUCGAGUUUGUGUGUUUUGCAAGAUCGUUACCAUUGAAUCCUUCUGCGUUUGCCACCACGUUGACAGUUUCUUUUCUUUUCUUUUUUUUUUUGUUGUUAUUUGUUCCUCAUCGGUUUUUAAACAAAGAUCCACGACAGUCACUUGGUCAUACAAGCAUGUUCGUCGGAACAAGAAGUGCAGAUUGGCUUAAGUUUCUUUUUUUUAAGUUUUCUUUUGCUUUUCUUCAAAAAAGGGUUCCAGACAGAGUGGCUACAAUAAUAUUAAUAAUAUAAUAAUAAUAUAAUAAUAAUAUAAUAAUAGCACUUGACUUCACUUCAGCACAGUAAAAAAAGAAAAAAAAAGAAAAAAGGUCCAAAGGUGCUUUUUUUGUGUUUUGUUUUUUAAAUCUGAUUUGAUGUGAAGCGACGUCCCCCCUCUUCCUCCCCCUUUCUCCUCCCACCUCUCCUCUCCUCUCAGCGGGGAAGUGGCGGGCGGAAGUCCAGUGCCGGUGAGAUGAAGAAGAAGUGACUGAAGUAUUGCCAACUGGUCCGUCAUAUUUCUUUUUUUGUGUGUGUGUUUUUUCUGUAGUGGUUCCACUCCGUUUCAGUACAGAAAGAGGAGAGAUUGGUGAGGGGGGGGUUAAAAAUUAAAGUGAAUGCACACACGUAUGCCACUGCUGGCACCGUUUUUUUAAGUUGAAAAAGUCCAUCAAGAUGAGAAAAAAAAGAAAGGAAACAAAGGAGGGCGUUUCAGGGGGACGAGUUGCUCCCAUUUUACAAAAUGUAACAAAAGUUUUCUCGCAAAAUUUUACAAAUCUGUAGCAAUACAGGAAAACAAAACAAACAAAUAAACAAACAUAUAUAUCCUAUUUACAACAACAACAAGAAGAACCCUUUUUUUCAAAAGUGUAGUGAGAAUGCAGCAGAUCCCAGCUUUGGCACUCGGCGUUUGUGUUGGUUUUUUUUUUUUGUUUGUUUUUUUAUGUGUUUGUUUUAAAUCCACCCUGUCGGUCGGUCAGUCGGUGUGUACAGUCAGACUGCUGCUGCAGGCACACAUUCAGUGCUCCGGUUCACCUCCCUCCUCAUCGCGUCUCCGCGGCAACGCAGGUCACGCACAACAUCGCCUCAUCCGUCCGCCGAGUUCCCAGCCUCUUAAUCCCCCCCAACGCUGCCGCCCCCCGGGGUCACUUAAAGGGAAAGUUCAGGGAUUUACUUAAGGUAAAGUGCAGAUCCUGAACUGAGUUUGCUCUUAAAGGCAAACUUCAGGAUGAUUACAAGGAGUCUAACAAAACCAAAGCGAGGACAGCAUUUUAAAAGAUACAAAUCUGUCUGAUUAUAUUAUUAGGGAAUGUUGGAUCCUCUGUGUCGACUGUAAAUAUUCCUUUUAAAGGGAAGUUAUCUGGACAUUAACAUACAAAGUGCAGCUCAUGAGUCAAAGUUUCCAUCCAGCCGCUGCAGUUGUGUGCAUAUUAGUUUACCGGCUCGUGAAGAUAAACAGCCACUGGAGCCAAUUCUGCAUGCAAACGACUGUGUCAUGUAUUAAUGCGAGGAAUCUUUCUUUAAAAAAAAAAAAAUUGUCACUUUUUUUUCUCUCCAUGCACAUAAAAACAGGUGGAUGGAAACAUUCUAUUCAUAUUUGGGUGAGAUUAUUUGUGUUUACUUGACAGUCAGGAAGCAUGAGGAGAGAGGAGUUAAUGUGCCUUCAGCUACAGAGGCGUCCAUGGAAAUGUACUUUAAGAUACUAGCAAAGCCUCCGCUUACAUAGCAGGUGAAGGAUUUUAACAUUUCUCAUCACAAUGAGGCCAAAUAUGGAAGCCCAUUUGUGUCAAAAAAGUGAAACCCAAAAAAGUCUUAGUGAGUUAAAAUUAUGACAACUCAAAAUGAUCAGAGAAAAAGUAAAAAUUAUGACAUUUCAGGUCAAAAUUAUCAGUUAAAAAAAUCCUGAUCAUGAGAAAGAAAAUAACUAAAUAAAAAUCUGGACAAAUGAAAUCAAUAUUCUAAAGAGAUGGAAAGUCAAAACUUGACAUACGGGGUCAAAGUUACCUGUGAAAAAGUUGUACUUAUGACAAUAAUUUCAUCAAACCUUUUAAAGUCCAGCCUGUAAGAUAAAAAGACUUUUUUGUGAGUUGAGACGUCACAAAGUUGAGUGAAAAUUAGGAAUCAGGAUAUUGUAACUAUGAGACUGUCAAUAAUUUGAGAUAAACAGUCAAACACUGAAGCAAAACAUCUAAAUUUUAAAUUUGUAAAGUCACAUUUUUGAGUUGGCAAGUCAAAAUAUGAGAUAAAAAAAGGAGUAAACAGUACUACUAUGUACAUAGAAGUACCAGUAAAAGUAAUAACGUUAAAUUUUAAGUUCAAAAUCAAAAUUAGGUCAGUCAGAAUUACG
ensembl:lncRNA